rnacentral:rRNA from 1 species
CCUACGGGCGGCUGCAGUGAGGAAUAUUGGGCAAUGGGCGUAAGCCUGAACCAGCCAAGUCGCGUGAGGGAUGAAGGUUCUAUGGAUCGUAAACUUCUUUUAUAAGGGAAUAAAGUGUGGGACGUGUCCUAUUUUGUAUGUACCUUAUGAAUAAGGAUCGGCGAACUCCGUGCCAGCAGCCGCGGUAAUACGGAGGAUGCGAGCGUUGUCCGGAUUUAUUGGGUUUAAAGGGUGCGUAGGCGGCCCUUUAAGUCAGCGGUGAAAGUCUCUGGCUCAACCAGAGAAUUGCCGUUGAAACUGGGGGGCUUGAGUGUGUAUGAGGCAGGUGGAAUGCGUGGUGUAGCGGUGAAAUGCGUAGAUAUCAGGCAGAACCCCGAUGGCGAAGGCAGCCUGCCAGGCCAUGACUGACGCUGAGGCACGAAAGCGUGGGGAUCAAACAGGAUUAGAUACCCGGGUAGUC